AUGCCUGUGUCCUGUUCUAUACGCUUCCUCUGGAAAGGAGCGGCCUGCGAGGGGCGGGGCACUGGGAGGCCUCCCCACCCCAUGCCCAGGCGCCCGCCAAGGAGGCACUGGGGAGAAGGAAACCGGUUUCCGUGCCAGCCCACCCAGGGUCGGCCAGCGGGGAAGAACACCAGUCAUCUGCCAGUUCAGAAUACUGAGGUCCUGGAACAUGAGGGACUUCACUGCAGUUACCGGGGUAGAUUCCAGGUCCAAACACAAUUCUCUUGGCCUUGAGUCACAUGCUUUUUCCACUAAUCUAUGUAUUGCAUUAUAUAAAUGAACAUAAAACUUUUACAACUUGAAAAUACCAAAAGUAACUAUUGACCAAAAUCAGGUGAAUAUUUCUAUGUUUAUUUUGACUAGUCCAGUCUGGUUCACUUUCAGUCACAGUCAAAAAACAGAGCUUGUGUUAGAUCGAAGAUCAUAGAAACAUCGUUAAACAACACUUGUCUCCUGCAAAAGGAUUUCAGGAGGUCAAACAGGGAGACAAAAUACGAAAAUACACAAAGCAUUCAUGCCUUCCUUGGAAAGCAGAGCUUGCAUAAGCAUGUCAUGGAGACAGAUUAGCAAAUCUGAGGCUGAUAGUGGAAGGCUGAAACUUUGAUUUGGAAGAGUUUGGUCCUUUUCCACCGCUGAGAGCUCUUUUCACACCUAAUUCCUUGAGCAGAAAGUGGUAAGAGAUUGAUCCAGAAGCCCAGAGCAUGAAAUAACAAAGGUCUGUGAUUUUGGCCUGCCUUGUGUAUUGACUGUCAAAAUAAGGGAGGUUCAUGUGGUUCUAAACUAGUCUGGAUAUAUUUGUGCAUAUGCUGCAUACAUUUUCAAAGUACAUAAUUGGACACUCUAUGUAUAAGUCUCAUUUCUUUAAACAUGCCAUUCUCUGCUUCAGGCUAAGUUGGAAUUGUUUGUAUAAGUUCCUUUUGCGCUUUCAAGAGAAAUAGUAGUGAAGGAUUUGCUAUGAACCAAAUUUUUACACUAGUUUCUUUUCCUGUUUUGGGGGGCAGCUUUGUUUCUGCCAGGGGAUAUUAGCUCCUGUAAUGUUAGUUGUUGUGUGCUUAAUUGUGUAUAUAGUUAUAUGAGAUGUGUUUCAGUAUUUAUAAACACAAAUGUUUAGAGUGGACCACUACCACUGGCUUCAGCCAGGCAGCCGGACAAGAGGGUGGGUCUGUAGGUGAGGUUGUUCAGUCAAAUCUGUUGACCUUAACAAGUCUCCAGCUGGGGACUUACCUGUUGUUUAGAAUAGUUUGGUAAACGGAGGGUAUUUAUCUUUGCAAAAGCAUCUGGAGUCCUUGGGGGCAAAGUUAAUAUUUGUUAUCCCCUUUAUUCAUAUUACAUUAUCCAGAUUGGCCUUGAUUUUUAAAUUUACUCUGUUCAGUAUUUAAAGUUUUCUCGAAGCAAAGCUAAAAAGAAAAAAGAAAAGUGCUUACUGUCUUUUAUGUAAUACUUGCUCAUCCUACCUCACCGGACUGGUGUGAAGCGCAAAUAAAUUUGAAAUUGUAAGGACCUUGUAAACUGUGAAGUAUUAUUCACAUCUGUGGAUGUGGUUACAUGUUUGAAAUACAUGGCAGCACUGAAGCCAAGAUAAAAAGUUCAGAUGACUAUUUCGACCCACUCCAAUGAAGACAUAUGCCACUGGGUUUUCCUUUAGCAGCUUUAUCAAAGUAUAAUUUACAUGCCAUAGAAACUGUAAGCAUGCAGUUGUGCCGCCAUCACUAGAAACCAGUUUUAGAGCAUUUCCAUAACAUCAAAAUGUUCCCUCUUGCCCGUUAGCCGUUAAUCCCUUUUCUUACCCCCAGCCCCAAGAAAUCACUGGCAUGCUUGAUGUCUCUGUAAAUUUACCUUUUCUUGACAUUUUAUAUAAAUGGAAUCACAUAAAUGUAGUCUUUUCCAUCUGGCUUCUUUCAUCUAGCAUGUGUUUUUAAGAUUUAUCCACAUUAGGGAGCUCCCACAGUGGCACAAUGGGUUGUGAUCUGGCUUGUCUCUGUAGAGGCGCUGGUUCGAUCCCCAGCCUGGCACAGUGGGUUGAGGAUCCAGCGUUGCUGCAGCUGUGGCAUAGGUCACAGCUCUGGUUCGGAUUUGAUCCCUGGUCCAGGAACUUCCAUAUGCCAGGGUCAGGGCUGAGAGAGAAAAAAAAAAAUGUUAUCAUGUUAUAACAUGUUUCAUUACUUGGUCCUUUUUAUUGCUGAGUAGAUUUCCAUUAUAUGGGUAUACCACGUGCUGUUUAUCUGUUUGUCACCUGAUAGACAUUUGGGUUGCUUUCAGUUUAGGGCCAUUAUGAAUAAAACCACUGUGAACAUUCACAUGUCUUUGGACAUAUGUUUUCAUUUCUCUUGAGUGGAUUCAUAGGCUUGAAAUGUGUUUCAUGGUAAGUGUGUGUUUAACUUUUUAGGAAAAUGCCAAUCUGUUAUCCCAAGUGUCUAUAUCAUUUUAUUUUUUUUCAUCAGCAAUGUAUGAGGG
rnacentral:lncRNA from 9 species